GAGUUUGAUCGUGGCUCAGAGUGAACGCUGGCGGCAGGCCUAACACAUGCAAGUCGAACGGACCCUUCGGGGUUAGUGGCAGACGGGUGAGUAACACGUGGGAACGUGCCCUUUGGUUCGGAACAACUCAGGGAAACUUGAGCUAAUACCGGAUGUGCCCUUCGGGGGAAAGAUUUAUCGCCAUUGGAGCGGCCCGCGUCUGAUUAGGUAGUUGGUGGGGUAAAGGCCCACCAAGGCGACGAUCCGUAGCUGGUUUGAGAGAACGACCAGCCACACUGGGACUGAGACACGGCCCAGACUCCUACGGGAGGCAGCAGUGGGGAAUUUUGGACAAUGGGGGCAACCCUGAUCCAGCAAUGCCGCGUGCAGGAAGAAGGCC
rnacentral:rRNA from 1 species